CAAAUACCCCAAUUGAGCAAUGUAUGGAAGGUUAUUUCCUAGUUUUGUGUAUGUGCUUUAAAAUAACGUUUAUAUAGUUUGUUUCGCAUAUAGGUGAGACCUAUCCUGAGGACGAGCGCAGUCAAGCAAGGCUCGGGGGUUACGACCCUUCCACAUAUCAGUGAGUGGGCUUUUGGUUUUCAAUAUAUACUUAUAUACUUGAUAUUUUCCCAGAAAAUGCGUUUAAAUGAAAUUACGUUUUGAAAUGCCAUGCAUAUUGGUUUAUACUUAGAGUAUGAAUUAGUAUAGUAUGCAUAAAUGUGAUUUGACGUUGUGGACGCUCAGGUAAGUACCAUGUAAGUUGUAGACUAUUAUAUGUGAUUUUUUUAUGAUAUGAGAUGUGUUGAGAAUUUAUAAACCUGCACCCCGGUGUUAGUAUAGCCCUAAGUGACAACUAAUCCCAAUUUUAAUUGGGGUAAAUUAAAAAAAAAAAUCAAUUAAUUUUUUUAAUUUAACAGUAUAUCAACAAGCAAAUUAUAAAUAUGUCAAUUGAAUGUUGUGGUAAACUAAUAUAAUCAAAAUAUUUGUAGCGCAUAAUAAUAUAUUAGAGCUGCUUAGUGUUGAG
rnacentral:lncRNA from 1 species